rnacentral:rRNA from 1 species
GCCAGCCCGCUCAGAAACUUAAAGGAAUUGACGGGGCCCGCACAAGCGGAGGAGCAUGUGGUUUAAUUCGAUGAUACGCGAGGAACCUUACCUGGGCUCGAACGUAAGAUGACUGUAGGUGAAAGCUUACAUCUCUUCGGAGCAUUUUACGAGGUGCUGCAUGGUUGUCGUCAGCUCGUGCCGUGAGGUGUCGGGUUAAGUCCCAUAACGAGCGCAACCCUACCUUUAGUUGCCAUCAGAUAAUGCUGGGGACUCUAAAGGAACUGCCUACGCAAGUAGUGAGGAAGGCGGGGAUGACGUCAAAUCAGCACGGCCCUUACGUCCAGGGCUACACACGUGCUACAAUGGCCGAUACAGAGGGCAGCUACCUGGUGACAGGAUGCAAAUCUCCAAAGUCGGUCUCAGUUCGGAUCGGAGUCUGCAACCCGACUCCGUGAAGUUGGAUUCGCUAGUAAUCGCGCAUCAGCCAUGGCGCGGUGAAUACGUUCCCGGGCCUU